GAUGAACGCUGGCGGCGUGCCUAAUACAUGCAAGUCGAGCGAAUGGAUUAAGAGCUUGCUCUUAUGAAGUUAGCGGCGGACGGGUGAGUAACACGUGGGUAACCUGCCCAUAAGACUGGGAUAACUCCGGGAAACCGGGGCUAGUACCGGAUAAUAUUUUGAACUGCAUGGUGCAAAAUUGAAAGGCGGCUUCGGCUGUCACUUAUGGAUGGACCCGCGUCGCUAAUAGCUAGUUGGUGAGGUAACGGCUCACCAAGGCAACGAUGCGUAGCCGACCGGGGAGGGUAAUCGGCCAACCUGGGACUGAGACACAGCCCAGACUCCUACGGGAGGCAGCAGUAGGGAAUCUUCCGCAAUGGACGAAAGUCUGACGGAGCAACGCCGCGUGAGUAAUGAAGGCAUUCGGGUCGUAAAACUCUGUUGUUAGGGAAGAACAAGUGCUAGUUGAAUAAGCUGGCACCUUGACGGUACCUAACCAGAAAGCCACGGCUAACUACGUGCCAUCCGCCGCCGUAA
rnacentral:rRNA from 1 species